rnacentral:lncRNA from 1 species
GAUUGUUUGUUAAAAGGGUUUAAAAGAGAUAAAUUACAUAAUGUAAAGAAAGUGUAAUAAAGGCGCUUUAAAAAUGACUUGCAAUGGAAAAUAAAUUCUGGAAAAAAAGUACAAAUAAACUUUGAUUGAUAUGCAAGAAAUGGUGUUAACAAAUGUACAUUUUCAAUGAUACUCUUUUCUCAAUACGCUUAGAUACUUUGAGUAAUUUUGAGUAUUUGUACAAUAAUUGAACACCCCGAAAUCCUAACACUAAGACCCUCUAUAUAUAUUAAAUCGAAAUAACCGCUACCAACGACUUUUCUCCCAGGCAAUGACACGUCGCACUCGACAUGUCUUCAAUUCAUGAUAACAUUCCACACAUCUUUUCUUUAAAACUGGAUAAGAGCGAAAUAUAGUUAUCCUUCUUUCAUUCAAAUUCAAACAUAUGUGUCGAAGGCAACCAUAACGUUGCCUCAAUCGAAUUACCAUUCGAAACUUAGAAGCAUUUCUAAGUCUCACACAAUAAUUUUCUCUUACCCAAGGAUCACUUCGACUGACUUUCUCAUACCAUAUUCUUUAUGUCGAAGUCCAAAAUAUCUUCAAAGGUAUUCUCUCUUCUUCGUUUAUUGGCUCCAGCCUGACGUCGAAAAUUCCAGCUAACAUCAUGAUGGACAAAAUCCCAACAGAUGAUCCGUUGAAUCAAAUAGGUUGCUGCAUUGUUUCAAGAUGCAGUCUUUGCAGGAAUAAUGUGGAGACUUCACAACACAUUUUCUUUGACUUCCCAUAUGCCAAACAAAUCUGGAAGUGGUUCUACAAAACUGCUAGACUUGUUAACCCUCAUUCAGCCCUUGAAGAUCGGUGGACGACUUACACCUUAAGCAAAUCAAAGCAAUGCUCUUUAAUUUCAAAAGCUGCUAUCAUCUACAUUUUGUACUACCUGUGGGAAGCUAGGAAUUGGGACAGAUCCAUAAACAUUUCCACAAACAUCGAGUGUUCAAUACAAAAGAUAUAGGCUCAGUUGAUUCUCACAAGAAAUAAAUCUUCAUCCACUGCAUCAUCUUCCCUAAAUGAAUUUCUAAUCGUUAAAGCUCUCGACAUCUCCAUAAAUCCACCUAGAGCUCCAAAGAUUACAAAGAGAUAUGGACACCCCCCUCGUUUGGAAUGAAUUUCUAAUCGUUUGCAGAAACAUACUCAAGCCUCGUGGUUAAAGCUUUUCACGAACUAGCUUUGUUAUCUUGGCAAUUUCGCAACAAAUGAAAUACUUGUAUGGCUCAUUUUCCAUAUAAACACAUUUUCAUCUCCCAUAUUUAUAAAGAAGAGAAAUCUUAUGUCAAUUUUUUUGACGAAUGUAGGUCUCAAUUGCAACACUCUAACCAUUUUUAAAUCUAUUCCUUUUGAAUAUUGGGAAAAUUUUUUUAUACAAAAUAGAUCAGAAAUAUCUUUC